UGACGUUUCUCGCGUUCCUAAGUUCAGUUAGUAAAUAACAUCAGGAAGCACAGGAAAUUAAUUGUUAGAGCAAGCUGGGAUAUAUUACUUAGCGGCCUUGUCCCUUUCAGACAUGGGUUUGCGGCCGUGUGUUCCCUUCUUCUGGCCGGUCGAUCCAGUAGCAAGCUUAGGCUAGCCAGCCUCGUUUGGUGCAUCCUCCAUGAAUCAAUCUAGGUGCUUAAAUCCUUGUACUUGUGUCCCACCGGAAGAAAAUAGUUGAAGGUUGUGUACGUGCAUCUUUACCUGGACCAACCUAAAUGGUACUGUAGCAAUUACUUGCGUUUUGCAGAAACGUGUCAAACAAUACAAACUGCACAAAAAUCUCUUCAAUUGAAUCAACAAUAUCCACUGAAAAGCAAAUAAAUUAAGAGCCAGUACAAAAACUGCAAUGCUAGUACGUUACCCUGAUCAAUCCUUUCUUAUUACCGUGCUUUUUAUGCUUCCGCAGCCACAUGUAAGCUAUAUUGACAAUCAUCACUCAUCGGCAUGAACUAGCACUUCUCUGAUAGACUUAAUCACGUUGCUGCUCUUAGGAAGUGUAGCAAUAAGAUCAUCAUGCGCCGCUGCGUCCUCUAGUUGGUGUCAGCGACGGCCAGCCAACCCGUGACCAUUACCAGAUAGAUCAAUUGGAGGAACGGAAGUAUCACAGACGAUAUUCGUCAACCUGUCCAUCUGCACGACCUAGUAUU
rnacentral:lncRNA from 1 species